AUUGAACGCUGGCGGCAUGCCUUACACAUGCAAGUCGAACGGUAACAGGUCUUCGGAUGCUGACGAGUGGCGAACGGGUGAGUAAUACAUCGGAACGUGCCUAGUAGUGGGGGAUAACUAUCCGAAAGGAUAGCUAAUACCGCAUACGAUCUGCGGAUGAAAGCGGGGGACCUUCGGGCCUCGCGCGAUUGGAGCGGCCGAUGUCAGAUUAGGUAGUUGGUGGGGUAAAGGCUCACCAAGCCAACGAUCUGUAGCUGGUCUGAGAGGAUGACCAGCCACACUGGGACUGGGACACGGCCCAGACUCCUACGGGAGGCAGCAGUGGGGAAUUUUGGACAAUGGGCGCAAGCCUGAUCCAGCAAUGCCGCGUGCAGGAAGAAGGCCUUCGGGUUGUAAACUGCUUUUGUACGGAACGAAACGGCUCUGGUUAAUACCUGGGGCUAAUGACGGUACCGUAAGAAUAAGCACCGGCUAACUACGUGCCAGCAGCCGCCGUAA
rnacentral:rRNA from 1 species